CAGAUACAAAGAGACAAAAUGUAUUAUGACAAGUCGAGUUUCAGACUUGGAAAUUCAAGUGCAACAACUAAAUCAUCCACAAUAAUUGAAGUGAAUUUACUAUUUACAUUUUAUAUUUAGCCCCUCUUUGAGCCUCUUUUUGGAGGGAAAAAAAGGUAUUCUAGAAUAAUAUUUUUUGAAAAUGUGUUGUUGACCCCAAAAAAUGUUGUCAACAGAAUCUCAAUAUCAUCUUCUUCGUACCUGCACACGUGGCACUUCAUUAAGAGGCAAAGGCUACAGGCCGUGAAAAGGGCCCAGCGACUGUUUGCACUUUGACGGUCAAGUCAGUGACCGGACGGAGAUAUAAAUAUGAAGUGCAAUAUUCGAGAGAGAAGGAACGUUGUUAAAAUGUUUUAACGUGUUUAGGCAUAUCUGGAAAUGAAAGGGAUUCUCAUAUUUAUAAAUAAAUGAAAUGGGCUAAGUGAUUCAUUGGGCCUAGGUCUAAGCCUAGUAUGAGGCGAUUGUAUUAGCAUAGCAAUGAAUACCUCAGCAAGUGCUUCAGCUGGGCUUCUUGGGAACUUGGCAGCACCUUUGAAGGCACCUCGGUUAGACCACUUCUUGUGCCUUGGUUAGACCACUUCGAAUGAUCUUUAGAUAGCUUCGGGUUGGGUUUAGGAUGCACUUUGGCUGAGCCUUGGAGGGCCUCGGUGAACUACCUUGUCAGGCACUUUGGCCAUCUUGGAAGGCACCUCGGUUAGCCCUUUAAGGUACCUCAGCUAACUCCUUGGAAGCACCUCAGCUGACCCUUUGGGAGCACCUCGGCUAGCCCUUUAAGGCAUCUCGGAUGACCGCCUUGAGAGCCUUAGCUUGGGCUUUUACUUGGUUGCCUCUUAUGCCUAUGUUGUCCAACUCUAAUGGGCCUCGUCCAAUAAUAAGGUUUAUGUGAAGUUAUUUAUGGGUAUAACAUGUGUAAUAAAGAAAUAAGCAAAAAAAUUCGAUUUACA
rnacentral:lncRNA from 1 species